rnacentral:lncRNA from 1 species
AUCACAUGUAUCCAUCUUUCAGAGGAACAUAUUGGAUAGGAAUAUACAUAUUAGGUAUAGUGAGGUAUCCAUCCUGUGUACAUAUCCAUCAUAUAGUGGGCAGAGGUGGCAAAAGUCAACACCUUCACUGUAGCCACCUAUAUAUUUAAUGUGAUAGUAGAUGUAAAAAGAGCAUGGGCAGAUCACAUCUGUGGAUCCAAUUUUAAUGAAGACAUCCUCAAUUAUGCUGUUCUUCUUCCUAUUUCUUGGUCGGUACUUUGCACCUCUAAGUAGAGUGCAUUGACACUUGACUUAUUGAUUACCAUCUUUUUUAACUUUUUAUCGCUUUGUCCUUUCUUUUCAAUGC